rnacentral:rRNA from 3 species
GGGACACGUGGUAUCCUGUCUGAAUAUGGGGGGACCAUCCUCCAAGGCUAAAUACUCCUGACUGACCGAUAGUGAACCAGUACCGUGAGGGAAAGGCGAAAAGAACCCCGGCGAGGGGAGUGAAAAAGAACCUGAAACCGUGUACGUACAAGCAGUGGGAGCACGCUUAGGCGUGUGACUGCGUACCUUUUGUAUAAUGGGUCAGCGACUUAUAUUCUGUAGCAAGGUUAACCGAAUAGGGGAGCCGAAGGGAAACCGAGUCUUAACUGGGCGUUAAGUUGCAGGGUAUAGACCCGAAACCCGGUGAUCUAGCCAUGGGCAGGUUGAAGGUUGGGUAACACUAACUGGAGGACCGAACCGACUAAUGUUGAAAAAUUAGCGGAUGACUUGUGGCUGGGGGUGAAAGGCCAAUCAAACCGGGAGAUAGCUGGUUCUCCCCGAAAGCU